rnacentral:tRNA from 1 species
GGUGCUGUGGCUCAAGUGGUAGAGCGCUAGGCUUGAGCUGAAGAGCCUAGAGACAGCACCC